CCUACGGGGGGCAGCAGUGGGGAAUAUUGGACAAUGGGGGCAACCCUGAUCCAGCCAUGCCGCGUGUGUGAAGAAGGCCCUCGGGUUGUAAAGCACUUUCAGUGAGGAAGAACGCCUGGUGGUUAAUACCCAUCAGGAAAGACAUCACUCACAGAAGAAGCACCGGCUAACUCCGUGCCAGCAGCCGCGGUAAUACGGAGGGUGCGAGCGUUAAUCGGAAUUACUGGGCGUAAAGCGCGCGUAGGUGGCUUGAUAAGCCGGUUGUGAAAGCCCCGGGCUCAACCUGGGAACGGCAUCCGGAACUGUCAAGCUAGAGUGCAGGAGAGGAAGGUAGAAUUCCCGGUGUAGCGGUGAAAUGCGUAGAGAUCGGGAGGAAUACCAGUGGCGAAGGCGGCCUUCUGGACUGAAACUGACACUGAGGUGCGAAAGCGUGGGUAGCAAACAGGAUUAGAUACCCCAGUAGUC
rnacentral:rRNA from 1 species